rnacentral:rRNA from 1 species
GACGUAGGGGGCGAGCGUUGUCCGAAGUCACUGGGCGUAAAGCGCGCGUAGGCGGCCUCUUAAGUUGGGUGUGAAAUCCUGCGGCCCAACCGCAGAACUGCAUCCAAAACUGGGGGGCUUGAGGACGGAAGAGGGCAGUGGAAUUCCUGGUGUAGCGGUGAAAUGCGUAGAUAUCAGGAGGAACACCCGUGGCGAAGGCGGCUGCCUGGUCCGUAUCUGACGCUGAGGUGCGAAAGCCAGGGGAGCGAACGGG